UCCAUUAAAUUUACAUUAAAUGGAAAAUUGUCUUUGGUAGUCUGGCAGACAAAUACAUGAAAUUACAGAAAUACAAGGUGAAGAAUCUCUGUGCAGCAGAUAGAUCAUGGUAUUCUCAACACCUGCAUGUGGCUUAUAGGGGUCCAAUGCUGCAUCCAUGCGUUCUGAAGUGAUCCAGGAUAAGCCUUUCCAGUUACUGAAUGUGAGAGAUCUGAAUGAGAAGAAGAGGAUUGAGAAAGCAGGGCAUGAUCAAUAUUUUUGGGCUGAGGAAGACACAAAGAGAGGUGAGUUGCUCUCAUCCUUUAUCCCUAGUUGACAAUGAAUAAUUCAUAGAAGAUACCAAAAAUUAU
rnacentral:lncRNA from 1 species